UGGGGAAUUUUGGACAAUGGGCGAAAGCCUGAUCCAGCAAUGCCGCGUGUGUGAAGAAGGCCUUCGGGUUGUAAAGCACUUUUGUCCGGAAAGAAAUCCUUGGCUCUAAUACAGUCGGGGGAUGACGGUACCGGAAGAAUAAGCACCGGCUAACUACGUGCCAGCAGCCGCGGUAAUACGUAGGGUGCAAGCGUUAAUCGGAAUUACUGGGCGUAAAGCGUGCGCAGGCGGUUUGCUAAGACCGAUGUGAAAUCCCCGGGCUCAACCUGGGAACUGCAUUGGUGACUGGCAGGCUAGAGUAUGGCAGAGGGGGGUAGAAUUCCACGUGUAGCAGUGAAAUGCGUAGAGAUGUGGAGGAAUACCGAUGGCGAAGGCGAGCCCCCUGGGCCAAUACUGACGCUCAUGCACGAAAGCGUGGGGGAGCAAAACAGGAUUAGAUACCCUGGUAGUCCACGCCCUAAACGAUGUCAACUAGUUGUUGGGGAUUCAUUUCCUUAGUAACGUAGCUAACGCGUGAAGUUGACCGCCUGGGGAGUACGGUCGCAAGAUUAAAACUCAAAUGAAUUGACGGGGUCAUAGCUGUUUCCU
rnacentral:rRNA from 1 species